ACGGUGAGACACAAGUAAUCCGAAUAAUUAUUAUUUACUGAUCCGAAGUGACCCGGUUCCGUUCUUUGCACUUCUCAACUUUUUCAAAAUUGUUUUUGAAUUGCUUAGUUGUUACAAUGGCUUCAAAGAGGAAACACACCACUUUGACAUUAAAACAAAUCAGAAAUAUUGGAUAAAUUAUGGAGUGGUGUAAACAGCAGUGUCUUAGCUAACUUAUAUGGAGUUGAACAGGCUACGGUUGAAAUGGAGGGCAGAAAAUACUCUUGCGACGCCAGACAAGAAGACGCAUUUUUUUUGAGGUGUAUAAAAUCUUAUAAUUUCAGCCACUGGGACCAAGGUAUUGACUGUAAAAAUAAAAAUAAGCUGUUUGUAAGUAUUUUUUAUCUAGUUUAAUAAGAACCGCAACGUACACAGGUUAUGAAAGGCCAUUCGUGUUCCACAGGUUUUGAAACGUAUAAUGUGUGGUCUGCGGUGUCUCUUUUUGGAAGCUUUGCAAAAGAGUUACAUCGACAAAAAAAUCACAAUAUUAUUAUAUUAUUAUAUAAAAUGAACGAGGGAAACAGUUACCUUUUUUUAGAGAUAAUCGUAAACUACCACCGUAUAUACAAUGUACUUGAAUUUUGAACAUAAUAUGCAUACUCGGUAACUCUAGGGACAUGUAAGAAGCUAAAAGAGUAUCCUAAUAAGUACAAAAAAUAAUAGCAUGCCAUAAGAAAAAAAUAUUAGUUUGACGUCAUACUCUGUAUGAUCAAAAAUGUUUUCCUGAAAUUCCUUCUAGAGUAUAAUUAACGUCUACUAAAUAUCGUAAGUCCAAGUUUAAACUGAACUACAGAAGACGGGAGCCGAGCUCCACCCUGUAUAUUUUUAAUUUUUUAAACUUGUCUUUUUAUGUCACAAUUCCUAUGUCCUAAUUAUUAUUGUUAUAGAUCUGUAAGAAAGAUGGUGUAGUAGAACAAAUUCCAUAGAUAAAGUUCGAUUUUUCAACUUGUAAUUUCUAAAAUUCUGCUUUACUCAAUUUCCUUGUUUUUUUAAAUAAAUAGGAGAGAUAUUCAUCAUUAAAAACUUACUGUUUUCAUAAUGGCAAGUCUUUUUUUCGAUACGAUUUUUUUUUAUUUUAAGACUUUUAAAAUUCUUUGUCAAAAGGUGAACGUUUUGUACUUGAAUACCACCUAUUUCUUUGUACUUUAAACUUCCGUUCUCUAUCACCAUCAAUCAUGAUACGCAAUGAUUAGCGAACGAGGGAUUAAAUUUUCUUAGUUUCUAAUCACUGAUUCUUCUAUAUAUUGUUCAAUGUAUCAAAUACUUAAUUCAAAGUUAUCAGUUUCGUUUGUUUUGUCAUUAUGAAACUGCUUCCUGUUGUUCUUGUUCUUGUUUAUACACACAUCUGGGUGGGUGCUCAACCACAAUGCCCACCACAAGAUGGCGAUUUUCCAGUCUUUAUUCCAAGUCCAGAUUGCACUAAAUAUUACAUGUGCGGAAACGGAAUUCCUCAUUUGAUUACUUGUCCUGGACACCUACAUUUCAAUCCAACUCUAAAUGUAUGUGAUUGGCCCGAUCGUGCUGGAUGUAAAGAAGGUGAAGAAUGUCUAGCUGAUUAAUCUUACAUACCUAUCUUAAAUAAAUUAACAAUGCAGUGAUUCA